rnacentral:rRNA from 1 species
AUUGAACGCUGGCGGCAUGCUUUACACAUGCAAGUCGAACGGCAGCACGGGGGCAACCCUGGUGGCGAGUGGCGAACGGGUGAGUAAUGCAUCGGAACAUGCCCAGUCGUGGGGGAUAACGUAGCGAAAGUUACGCUAAUACCGCAUACGUCCUGAGGGAGAAAGCGGGGGAUCGCAAGACCUCGCGCGAGUGGAGUGGCCGAUGUCAGAUUAGCUAGUUGGUGGGGUAAAGGCCUACCAAGGCGACGAUCUGUAGCGGGUCUGAGAGGAUGAUCCGCCACACUGGGACUGAGACACGGCCCAGACUCCUACGGGAGGCAGCAGUGGGGAAUUUUGGACAAUGGGGGCAACCCUGAUCCAGCCAUGCCGCGUGCGGGAAGAAGGCCUUCGGGUUGUAAACCGCUCUCAGCCGGAAAGAAAUCGCCAUUCCUAAUACGAGUGGUGGAUGACGGUACCGGAAGAAGAAGCACCGGCUAACUACGUGCCAGCCGCCGCCGUAA